GUGGGGAAUAUUGGACAAUGGGGGGAACCCUGAUCCAGCCAUGCCGCGUGUGUGAAGAAGGCCUUUUGGUUGUAAAGCACUUUAAGCGAGGAGGAGGCUACCGAGAUUAAUACUCUUGGAUAGUGGACGUUACUCGCAGAAUAAGCACCGGCUAACUCUGUGCCAGCAGCCGCGGUAAUACAGAGGGUGCAAGCGUUAAUCGGAUUUACUGGGCGUAAAGCGCGCGUAGGUGGCCAAUUAAGUCAAAUGUGAAAUCCCCGAUCUUAACUUGGGAAUUGCAUUCGAUACUGGUUGGCUAGAGUAUGGGAGAGGAUGGUAGAAUUCCAGGUGUAGCGGUGAAAUGCGUAGAGAUCUGGAGGAAUACCGAUGGCGAAGGCAGCCAUCUGGCCUAAUACUGACACUGAGGUGCGAAAGCAUGGGGAGCAAACAGGAUUAGAUACCCGAGUAGUCC
rnacentral:rRNA from 1 species